UACGUAGGGGGCAAGCGUUAUCCGGAUUUACUGGGUGUAAAGGGAGCGUAGACGGUGCAGCAAGUCUGAUGUGAAAGGUCGGGGCCCAACCCCGGGACUGCAUUGGAAACUGUUGAACUGGAGUACAGGAGAGGUAAGCGGAAUUCCUAGUGUAGCGGUGAAAUGCUUAGAUAUUGCGCAGAACUCCGAUUGCGAAGGCAGCAUACCGGCGGCGAUCUGACGCUGAGGCACGAAAGCGUGGGUAUCGAACAGG
rnacentral:rRNA from 1 species